AACGAACGCUGGCGGCGUGGAUAAGACAUGCAAGUCGAACGGGACUAAAUCUGUAGCAAUACAGGUUUAGUUUAGUGGCGAACGGGUGCGUAACACGUGGGCAAUCUGCCGAGAAGUGGGGGAUAGCUCGCCGAAAGGCGAAUUAAUACCGCAUAUGAUCAGUGAAGACAUCUUCACGACAUCAAAGCCGGGGCAACCUGGCGCUUCUUGAUGAGCCCGCGGCCUAUCAGCUAGUUGGUGAGGUAACGGCUCACCAAGGCUAUGACGGGUAGCUGGUCUGAGAGGACGACCAGUCACACUGGAACUGAGACACGGUCCAGA
rnacentral:rRNA from 1 species